rnacentral:misc_RNA from 1 species
GCUGCUGCAAUUGAACUGAAACAGGCAAGUAACCCUCGAUAGUUGCUAUAAUCUUGCUUUCUUUAUUAGAUCUUCUGAUUAGGUUUUGUUACUAGGCAUUGUUUUACUAUUCUUAUCAAAUUUUUACAUUUGAAUGGUAGAUAAGAAAAAGAAGAUAGCUUUACUUGCAUAAAAGCAAUUAUUAUUGUCAACCAGUAGCAUUCGUUGCCUUAUUCUUAAUCCUAACUGAGAUUUUAGUUAAGCAGAAACCCUUUAGUAAGGAGACUUUGGUAUUUGAAUAUUGCUAAUCAAAUGUGCAUAAAGAUGACUGAUCAGAUGCUGAAUUAUUGGUUUUCCUCUUUUCUGGAUUGUCUCUGCUAGAGUUUUGCCUUAGUUCUGCUUAGAUCAUUCGUAGGCAUAUGAGGAAUCAUAUGCAUACUAAUUAUCCUAAAUAGAUAAUUAGUAUGCUUAUUAGGAAUCAUAGUAUUACCUCAAUUCACUCCUUAGAUCAUGGGUUUCUACUACAUAAAUUAUUCUAAAUCUAGCUUUUAAUCCUACUGUGUAUUCUGUUCACAGUACACUUCACACACAAUAUAUUUGCCAUAUUCUUCAAUUUCUGUGCUGAUUUAUUUCUGUUAGUUAUUUUAAUCUGCUUGUAUUCUUCACUUAUUGUUUUGGGGUUCCAGUGCUAAAAUGCUGCUUUGGUAACAGCGUUUACAUAAACAUCAUGUAUUUCAUUUUACUUUGUUCUUUUUCUUUUUCUCUUGAAUGGAGAAAUCUUGUUAUGCAAAGUAUUUAAAACAGUCUUCUUUUUGGGAAUGCAAUACAACUUCUAUUGUUAAGGGUGUGCCUAAGUAACAAGAGGAAGGGAAUGUUUGUAAGGCCAGAAAAAACUUACCUACACCACAUAUACAUUAACCGCCACUCAUAUUCAGGGUUAGGCUCCAUCAAUAGCCUGGGUUCCACUUCACUCCAUAUGACCAUACCUUCUGCUUAUGCACACCUAAACAAAUUAAAAUGAAAACAGAAAGAUGAGCUAGCAAUGUAUUCAUGAGAACACAUAACUGUCCUACUCUGCACAAAGCCACAAACAUGUUCUCUCUCUCCAUCAUACUUCUUUAUUCUUCUCCUUUGCAUACUCAAAUUAAUCAUUUUUUCUUUUUUAGUUUCUGGCACAAUUCCCCCUUUUCUUUCUAUGACUAAUCUUCUCCUUCACUUGCUCAGUUUUCCUUCCCUUUUGUUCCAGUUCCGCUAAGUCCUUUUUCUUCCUUCUUUUCCACAAUACUACCUUUUCUUAAUUAGGCUGAGCAGAGAUAAGUCUCUGCUACCUCUUUGUAACCUUGAGCUCAAAAAAAGAAAAAUAUAUUUUGUAAAGAUUCCUCUUUUUUUUUUUUUUU